UUCUGACUGGUUUUGGUUCCAUUUCUUUUCUAUCUUUCUAUUUAUUUUUUCACCCUCCUGAGGUGAAACAGAAAUUCAGAUUUGUACAUGAAAAACUCCUAUUUUAAAAGUUGGCUCUGAAAUUUUUAACCCUAUAAAGAGCAAAC